CAAUAGCGUAUAUUAAAGUUGUUGCAGUUAGAACGCUCGUAGUCGGAUUUCGGGGCGGGGCGACCGGUCUGCCGAUGGGUAUGCACUGGUCGGCGCGUCCUUCCUUCCGGAGACCGUUCCUACUCUUAACUGAGCGGGGGCGGGAGACGGAUCGUUUACUUUGAAAAAAUCAGAGUGUUUCAAGCAGGCAGCUCGCUCUUGCAUGGAUUAGCAUGGGAUAAUGAAAUAGGACUUUGGUGCUAUUUUGUUGGUUUCGAACACCGAAGUAAUGAUUAAAAGGGACAGUCAGGGGCACUCGUAUUCCGCCGAGAGAGGUGAAAUUCUCAGACCAGCGGAAGACGGACCACUGCGAAAGCAUUUGCCAGGGAUGUUUUCACUGA
rnacentral:rRNA from 1 species